UCUCAUGCCUCAUGCUUUGCCGCGUGGGAUUGACUGAGCUGCUUUUAAUAAUCUACAAUCAGUUAAUAAAAACAAAAACUACGUGAAUCUCAAUGGACAUCAGAGGAGAGAAGAAGUGGAAUCAAUAUUAUCGGUACCAAAUGGCGACUUCAAGUGGUUCGAAGCAAUGCAUUGAAUCCGAGUCGGCGGUGAGUCAAGAUGGCGUCAGUCAGGCUGGGAGCGUUGGAGGAGACGCACAGAGCUACUCUUCACCAAUACAGAAGCGCACUUGCCCUCUACUCGGCAUUCUCCUUCACAAGAUACGUGGCAGCCGUCCUUACUGGUGUGGGGAACUCGUCCGGACUCCUCACCCGUGACUGCAAGCAAAGACACGUUCCUUCUCUGGAGUUCCUGGGCUUGCGUUGUGUCUAGGUAGCUCUGCAGGUGGUGUAGAACAAGCUAAGGUGUGUCAGAGUGGUUGGCAAUUAAUGAAAGGUGUGCCAAGUGAAAGGUGCCCUUGUUUAUUGGGGUGGCGCCUGUGUGUCGAGGGAAGCCCGGCGCUAGGUACGGGAGAGAGGUAUCAGUAGGUGCGUUCCUCGUGGCCGCAACACAACACAAAGACAGGAUAAAAUACCACAACUCAAUGCUGGCGGGAUGAUUCAUGUGGCUGUUUGCAUCUCAUCGUGGGGUUGGAAGUUAUGGUGAUGUUUUGUUGUGUCCACCAACACACCCUCCGAGUGGUCGAGAUGGGCGUGGCAGAGCUUCAGAAUAGUUCACCCCGCGGCGCUCAAACGAAGGACGGUGGAACUAUUGCAUUUAUGAGGCGCUGUUGAGUUUCUGGUGCCGCUGGUUGAGUUUUCCGAUGAUUGAUGAGCUGGCUGACGGCUGGCUGGCUGGGCUGACUAUGACUGACUUGGCCUCUCUCUCUCUCUCUCUCUCUCUCUCUCUCUCUCUCUCUCUCUCUCUCUCUCUCUCUCUGAUAAUGCUACAAAUAACAACAUAUAAAAGGAAUAAAUAUAUGUUAGUGGUGGAUGAUCUUUCAUGAACUUUUACCAUUACGCAAUCAAUAUUUAGUAAACAAACUCUUGACGUGAAUCGAUUUCCAGGAACUUUUAAGCCCCAACCAGCUGAUUCCUCCUUAUCUAAUCACUCCCUCUCAGACUACAACAUGCUGCAAUUGUUACUCUGUUAGUGUUGUUGAUGCUUUCUGUGUGUUUUUUUUUAUGGUUAGUGAAGUAUAUUGCAUCUGUGCUUUUUCAUUAAAUUGACAAACACACACACACACACACACACACACACACACACACACACACACACACACACACACACACACACACACACCUGUUUUAUUUCGCACACCUGAUAAUUA